AUUGAACGCUGGCGGCAUGCCUUACACAUGCAAGUCGAACGGCAGCACGGACUUCGGUCUGGUGGCGAGUGGCGAACGGGUGUGUAAUAUAUCGGAACAUACCUUGUAGUGGGGGAUAACUAUCCGAAAGGAUAGCUAAUACCGCAUACGCUCUAUGGAGGAAAGCGGGGGAUCGUAAGACCUCGUGCUAUAAGAGUGGCCGAUAUCUGAUUAGCUAGUUGGUGAGGUAAAGGCUCACCAAGGCGACGAUCAGUAGCUGGUCUGAGAGGACGACCAGCCACACUGGAACUGAGACACGGUCCAGACUCCUACGGGAGGCAGCAGUGGGGAAUUUUGGACAAUGGGGGCAACCCUGAUCCAGCAAUGCCGCGUGAGUGAAGAAGGCCUUCGGGUUGUAAAGCUCUUUUGUCAGGGAAGAAACGGUUGUGGCUAAUAUCCAUGGCUAAUGACGGUACCUGAAGAAUAAGCACCGGCUAACUACGUGCCAGCAGCCGCCGUAAUAC
rnacentral:rRNA from 1 species